AUCCAGCUGACGAGUCCCAGAUGGGACGAAACGCGCAUCCUGCAU
rnacentral:hammerhead_ribozyme from 1 species